rnacentral:lncRNA from 1 species
CCAGUGCUUAUCACGGUGUCUGGCACAUAGUAGAACGCUCACUUAUUAUAUAUUAUAUUCUAUUAUUAUAUAUUUUAUAUAUUAUUUUUCUCAUAUAACCUUUAUUUGUUUGUUUGUUUGUUUGUUUCUAUGGCAGUGGGCUCAAGCUUUCCUGGUCACGCAGCCAAUGAGGUCAUAAUGGCUAGGCCAUUUCUCUAGGUAUGUGCGUCACCACCCUCGCUUUCUGAUUGGCUGGCAGUGGGGCGUGGCAACCCUUUAUAUUGGUUUCCAGGGCCACCAGCUUUCAGUUGGAGCUGAGGAGUCGGUGGGCUAGCAGGCUCGUGGGGAGGUCUCCAGAGGCAAGCCAAGCCGUUCCCUCCUGGCCCUGAGGAAGAAAAGGCAGACUUCCUACUAUUCAUGGGGAGGGCUGGCUGACAGGUUGGCUGCCUUUGGGGGCACUCCUCCCAGGAUAUUCUGCUUUGGUAUGGAGUCCCACACACGGAGGAGAAAGGAAAAUUUUACUGUUCGCAGGGUGGUUGACAAGUGAAGUGAAGAAACACCAACGCAAAAUAGCAUUAGUGAGUUCCUGGAGCAGUUAUUUUAAAAGACCGUUGAGUUUGGGUACAUUGGAGAUAUCUGCAAUUUUAAAGAAGUCAGGCAUUUGAAGAGAAAGAAUAAGUGGUAUGUACCAUCUUUGGGGUGGGCCUUGCAAGCAGGGUGAGUUCUGGGAACAGGAAAAGUGGGCCAGAAUCUAGGAAAAGGGAAAACCUGAAGGGUUAUAGGAAGUGAGACAUGAGUUGGCAUCACUUUGCUUAGUGCUGGGAGAAAGAUCAUUUACAUGAUCUUAUAAGAUAACUGCUCUCUGCCUAAAUCCAUAGGGCUUUAUUUCCCUUGGGAGUUUUCUCCUUUUCUUCUCCCAUGGUACUUCCCAGAGGGUCCCAUAAGACUCAAUGCAGGCUUCCAAGUUGACUUUUGAUUCUAGAGAAUCACUGGCU